rnacentral:rRNA from 1 species
GUAGGUGGCAAGCGUUGUCCGGAAUUAUUGGGCGUAAAGCGCGCGCAGGGCGGUCCUUUAAGUCUGAUGUGAAAGCCCACGGCUCAACCGUGGAGGGUCAUUGGAAACUGGGGGACUUGAGUACAGAAGAGGAAAGCGGAAUUCCAAGUGUAGCGGUGAAAUGCGUAGAGAUUUGGAGGAACACCAGUGGCGAAGGCGGCUUUCUGGUCUGUAACUGACGCUGAGGCGCGAAAGCGUGGGGAGCAAACAGGAUUAGAUACCCUGGUAGUCCACGCCGUAAACGAUGAGUGCUAAGUGUUAGGGGGUUUCCGCCCCUUAGUGCUGCAGCUAACGCAAUAAGCACUCCGCCUGGGGAGUACGGCCGCAAGGCUG